rnacentral:misc_RNA from 1 species
GAUAAGAAGCGAUGGACAAACUGAAGACCCCGAGUACUGUCAUAUGGUACGACAGAGGUCAUUACGGCCUACAACAGUAGGUUAUACAGCCCGUUUUUCAAAACGUGAGAGACGUUAGGGGUAUUGAUGAAACAUUUUUGCAUAGAUUCCAUUCAAAAUAUGCUUGUAGAUUUUGUUGCAAAGAAAAGCUUCUCACUGUACAUAUGUGACACAGAGCAGUUCAGUUGUGGUGCUUGACAAGAAGGGUCUACAAGUGGGUAUCGUUGGAUGACCUGGUGUAUCUAUACCUUCAAAGUAUUUAGUGUAGAAGAUAGAAUUUUUUUUU